rnacentral:tRNA from 1 species
GAGCGAAUAGCUCAGUGGUAGAGUGUGUGCUUUGCAUGCAUGAGGAGGUCCUGGGUUCUAUCCCCGGUACCUCCA